UACGGAGGGUGCAAGCGUUAGUCGGAAUUACUGGGCGUAAAGGGUGCGUAGGCGGGCAUUUAAGUCAGUCGUGAAAUUCCGGGGCUCAACCCCGGAGCUGCGACUGAAACUGGAAGUCUAGAGGGAUGGCGGAGAAAACAGAAUUCCACGUGUAGCGGUGAAAUGCGUAGAUAUGUGGAAGAAUACCUGUGGCGUAGGCGGUUUUCUAGCCUGCCCCAGACGCUGAGGCACGAAAGCAAGGGGAGCAAACAGG
rnacentral:rRNA from 1 species